UAUGGCAGAUUAGUGCAUUGGACUUAAACCCCUCUUAUAAAGAAUUAAUUCUUUUAUUAAAA
rnacentral:tRNA from 1 species